GUACACUCCUGCGGGAGGCAGUAGUGGGGAAUAUUGGACAAUGGGCGCAAGCCUGAUCCAGCCAUGCCGCGUGAGUGAUGAAGGCCCUAGGGUUGUAAAGCUCUUUCACCGGUGAAGAUAAUGACGGUAACCGGAGAAGAAGCCCCGGCUAACUUCGUGCCAGCAGCCGCGGUAAUACGAAGGGGGCUAGCGUUGUUCGGAUUUACUGGGCGUAAAGCGCACGUAGGCGGACUAUUAAGUCAGGGGUGAAAUCCCGGGGCUCAACCCCGGAACUGCCUUUGAUACUGGUAGUCUUGAGUUCGAGAGAGGUGAGUGGAAUUCCGAGUGUAGAGGUGAAAUUCGUAGAUAUUCGGAGGAACACCAGUGGCGAAGGCGGCUCACUGGCUCGAUACUGACGCUGAGGUGCGAAAGCGUGGGGAGCAAACAGGAUUAGAUACCCCGGUAGUCCCAUGAU
rnacentral:rRNA from 1 species